CCUACGGGGUGCAGCAGUGAGGAAUAUUGGUCAAUGGGCUAAGGCCUGAACCAGCCAAGUCGCGUGAGGGAAGACGGUCCUCUGGAUUGUAAACCUCUUUUGUCGAGGAGCAAAGAGGCCACGUGUGGCCGAAGUGAGAGUACCCUAAGAAAAAGCAUCGGCUAACUCCAUGCCAGCCGCCGCGGUAAUACGGAGGAUGCGAGCGUUAUCCGGAUUUAUUGGUUUUAAAGGGGUCGGAGGCGGAACAUUAAGUCAGCGAUAAAAUCGAGGGGCUAAACCCCUUUAAGCCGUUGAAACUGGUGAUCUUGAGUGGGCGAGAAGUAUGCGGAAUGCGUGGUGUAGCGGUGAAAUGCGUAGAUAGUAGGAAGAACACCAGUGGCGAAGGCGACUUUCUGGACUGAAACUGACGCUGAGGCACGAAAGCGUGGGGAGCGAACAGGAUUAGAUACCCCAGUAGUA
rnacentral:rRNA from 1 species